UUAUUCUCCAUGCAGGAUUAGGGUCCUAUUAUCAUAAUCUGGACAUUGACAAUUACCUAUAAUUUGCAAAGAUGCGCACGGUUCCUGAUUGCAGAGGGCCCUUUUUCCCCUCCUUUCCUCUCUCCCCAGCUCGCCAUCACUAAACAGUGACAGUAAUAACAGCUAAUUUUGCAGGCAAUAUAUAAGAGUUUACCACGGUGUGCAAACACUUUCCCACCUGGAUUUGCGUACGGGAGCCACCGACUGUGUUCACCGGCCGUUGCGUUUUUGCUGGCGUAAUAUUGUGAAGCAGCAGGAAGGUAUUAUGUCGAUAUGUGGUCAAGCGCAUCGGUAGCAUACGUCAAUCUAUAUGCUAACAAUCAGUGGUAAGGCCCUUCAUCCCAGGACCAAUGCUUGAGCUGCUGGCAAUGGGGAAAAUAAAAUAUUACUGGAUUUAUUAUAUAUAGAUUUUAUUAUUUUAUAUAUAGGUAUAAAUUGUAAAUUUUGCAAAAUAUUCUCUCUCUCUCUUUCUCUCUCUCUCUCUCUCUCUCUCUCUCUCUCUCUCUCUCUCUCUCUCUCUCUCUCUCUCUCUCUCUCUCUCUCUCUCUCUCUCUCUCUCUAUCUAUCUAUCUAUCUAUCUAUCUAUCGAUCUAUCGAUCUAUCUAUCUAUGGGUGACAUAAGGUGUUAUUUGUGAUUUUUGUGGAUUUUGUUGAUGUUUUUCAUGACGGCACAUGCAUGCUUGCAGGUCAUAUGGUGCAUAGGGCUUGUCUCGUGUGUGUGUGUGUGUGUGUGUGUGUGUGUGUGUGUGUGUGUGGUGGCGGGGGGGUGGCUGCCCCCAGGUAGCCUGAAUGCGCGCCAGUGGGGCAUCCGCGACGUUGACAGCUGCCUGGAGGCUUUUCACCACGCAGUCGUCAUUUCAGAUAAUAUCCCCGACGCUCUCUCUUCUCGGCAAUUUGUAUCUGAAUAAGGGAAUAAUUUCCCCCCUUUGUUCCAUCGGCGCUACCUCCAAAAGCAAAAUAAAGAUGCCUUUUAGUAUUAAAGUGGUCGAAAAUUACAGGUAAUUAUCUUUGACGGUAAAAACGCUGUAAUCAGCGGGCUACAUCAAAAAUUACCCUAAUUAUGCCUGCAUUUAUGAGAAAGAGGGAGAAAAAGGCUCCCUUGGAUAAAAAGCCAGCAAAUUGUCCCAAAUAUCUCCUUCAUAUUGAACGGCGCUGCAGCUGGCUGCUUUGUUCGCCAUCGAUCCCACAGAGCUCGGCUUUUAACGGCCUGCAUUAGGACGGAGAAACGGCAGAAAACAUUUUGUCAAUACUUCCAAUAAUUGAGGGUGGAAUUGACCUGCAUGCGGCCAGAGUCUUUGGAGGUGAACGUAGGCAAGCGGCGGUGGCAGGGUACGCCCCCCCCAAGCCUCCCCCUUGGCUUCCACAGCUGUGGUGAGUGAGGGGGCAGAUGACCGGAGAUUUGGCCCCUGGGAGAGCGCCGAGCCAUCCUGGUGCUAUUAGACUGGUGGCUAAUAAUAGGUGUUUCAGACUCGGGGAAGAUCAAUCAGAGGGGAAUGGGGAAUGUUCAGGCCAGCGCUUUUUACACAUCGGCCCAGAUGGAUGAAAUUACACUUGUCAGUUUUUAGUUGCAUUACUCCCAAAUUGGUUGUCUACUUUUUUUUUUUUUUUUUCCUCCCACCCUUCACUGCUUCAUUCCUGCUCUUGUUUUUUCUCACUCUUUUUUUUUUUUUUUUAGCUCCGGUUCAUGUGUCAAUGUCCUGCUAAAAGGAUUCAGCAGUGAAAUCCCUGUCAUUUUGCGCCGGGCCCUCCAGGUACACGUAUUCACUUAAACGACAUUAGUUCCUUGUCUCCUCGUGAACAUUUUGAUGGCCGAGUGCGUGAUUGUGUAAAUGCGCAGAUGACAUUUUGUAUGAGGCGUGGAAAAAGUGUCAGGAAUGUUCUUGCUGCUUUGUGUCAUUUGAAUGUAAACAGCUACUUGAUGUGAAAUAAAUUGAAAUUCAUCAACGCA